UACGUAGGGUCCAAGCGUUGUCCGGAUUUAUUGGGCGUAAAGAGCUCGUAGGCGGUUUCGUAAGUCGGAUGUGAAAACUCAGGGCUCAACCCGGAGACGCCAUCUGAUACUGCGAUGACUUGAGUCUGGCAGGGGAACACGGAAUUCCUGGUGUAGCGGUGAAAUGCGCAGAUAUCAGGAGGAACACCGAUGGCGAAGGCAGUGUUCUGGGCCAGUACUGACGCUGAGGAGCGAAAGCGUGGGGAGCAAACAGG
rnacentral:rRNA from 1 species